CAGCCAGGCGAGCAGGACUAGCUGGGGCUGGUGAACCCCCCGGCCGGGUCAGAAUCUGUGCUACAGCAGUGAGACAGAGCUCUAGGCUCACUGCCCUUGUUCUUGUUCCCCAUAGACUUCCCAAAAGUUCCCAAGGGUGCCUCUUCCCAGAAGAGAGUCCCCAAGUGAAGAGAGGCUGGAGCCCAAGAGGGAGGUGAAGGAGCCCAGGAAGGAGGGGGAGGAGGAGGUGCCAGAGAUCCAAGAGAAGGAGGAGCAGGAAGAGGGGCGAGAGCGCAGCAGGCGGGCAGCGGCAGUCAAAGCCACGCAGACACUACAGGCCAAUGAGUCGGCCAGUGACAUCCUCAUCCUCCGGAGCCACGAGUCCAACGCCCCUGGGUCUGCCGGUGGCCAGGCCUCGGAGAAGCCAAGGGAAGGGACAGGGAAGUCACGAAGGGCACUACCUUUUUCAGAGAAGAAGAAA
rnacentral:ncRNA from 2 species